UGCAGUCGAGCGGUAGAGAGAAGCUUGCUUCUCUUGAGAGCGGCGGACGGGUGAGUAAUGCCUAGGAAUCUGCCUGGUAGUGGGGGAUAACGCUCGGAAACGGACGCUAAUACCGCAUACGUCCUACGGGAGAAAGCAGGGGACCUUCGGGCCUUGCGCUAUCAGAUGAGCCUAGGUCGGAUUAGCUAGUUGGUGAGGUAAUGGCUCACCAAGGCGACGAUCCGUAACUGGUCUGAGAGGAUGAUCAGUCACACUGGAACUGAGACACGGUCCAGACUCCUACGGGAGGCAGCAGUGGGGAAUAUUGGACAAUGGGCGAAAGCCUGAUCCAGCCAUGCCGCGUGUGUGAAGAAGGUCUUCGGAUUGUAAAGCACUUUAAGUUGGGAGGAAGGGCAGUUACCUAAUACGUAUCUGUUUUGACGUUACCGACAGAAUAAGCACCGGCUAACUCUGUGCCAGCAGCCGCGGUAAUACAGAGGGUGCAAGCGUUAAUCGGAAUUACUGGGCGUAAAGCGCGCGUAGGUGGUUUGUUAAGUUGGAUGUGAAAUCCCCGGGCUCAACCUGGGAACUGCAUUCAAAACUGACAAGCUAGAGUAUGGUAGAGGGUGGUGGAAUUUCCUGUGUAGCGGUGAAAUGCGUAGAUAUAGGAAGGAAC
rnacentral:rRNA from 1 species